ensembl:lncRNA
AGGACAUUAGACAACAGUAGUCGUUCUCUGACCCAGACCUACAUGAAACAGGACAUUAGACAACAGUAGUCGUUCUCUGAGCCAGACCAACAUGAAGGAGGACAUUAGACAACAGUAGUCGUUCUCUGAGCCAGACCAACAUGAAGGAGGACAUUAGACAACAGUAGUCGUUCUCUGAGCCAGACUACUGAAGGAGGAGGACAUUAGACAACGUGUCGUUCUCUGAGCCAGACCUACAUGAAGGAGACAUUAGACAACAGUAGUCGUUCUCUCUGAGCCAGACCAACAUGAAGGAGGACAUUAGACAACAGUAGUGUUCUCUGACCAGACUACAAACAGGACAUUAGACAACAGUAGUCUGUCUCUGACCCAGACCUACAUGAACAGACAAAGCUUGUGGUCUUAAAAUAUAUAUCAUGUACUGCCAAUUAAGUAUGUUCACUCUCUACACACAGUUCUGCCCCCAACCCAGGGUUUUCCAAACUUGGUCCACGGUUUAUUUGGUUUUGUUGCCCCGAGCCACUAACAAGCUGACUCAAAUGAUCAAAACGCUUGUCCCACCCAUUAAGUUGUUCACUGUCGAACACACAAGUUCUGCCCCUAACCCAGGGUUCCCAAAACAGGCUUAUACAAUUUACAUGACUCACGCGACCAUGUAUCUACAGAAGAGACCGUCUAAAACAACACUGUUCUCUGUCUGCAGGCUUGGUAUCUACAGAGAGGACCGUCUGAAAACAAACCGGUUCUCGUUGCGGUGGGGUACAUGGUAUCUACAGAAGAGACCGUCUGAAACAACACUGUUCUCUGUCUGCGGGUACAUGGUAUCUACAGAAGGCCGUCUGAAAACAACACUGUUCUCUGUCUGCGGGUACAUGGUAUCUUACAAGAAGGGACCGUCUGAAAACAACACGGUUCUCUGUCUGCGGGUACAUGUUCAGAUCGCAAAAUACAAAUCACACUUAUUUGGCAAUCAGAUUUAAAAAAGAUCCCUUUCCUAAACUAAAUUAACCAGAGCUUUAUCUAUGAACACAAUGGAUUUGUGGUUGGGGCUGUCUCAAUGAAAACUGGGAUCGAAGUGUGCAUGAAAAAUGGCAUCCCUCUUAUCCCUAUAUAGUGGUACAACUAAGUCCAGAGCCCUAUUCCCUAUAUAGUGGUACUACUAUAGACCAGGAGCCUAUUCCCUAUAUAGUGGUACUACUAUAGACCAGACCCUAUUCCCUAA